rnacentral:rRNA from 1 species
ACACAUGCAAGUCGAGCGGGGAAAAGUAGCUUGCUACUUAACUUAGCGGCGGACGGGUGAGUAAUACUUAGGAAUCUGCCUAUUAGUGGGGGACAACAUUUCGAAAGGAAUGCUAAUACCGCAUACGUCCUACGGGAGAAAGCAGGGGAUCACUUGUGACCUUGCGCUAAUAGAUGAGCCUAAGUCGGAUUAGCUAGUUGGUGGGGUAAAGGCCUACCAAGGCGACGAUCUGUAGCGGGUCUGAGAGGAUGAUCCGCCACACUGGGACUGAGACACGGCCCAGACUCCUACGGGAGGCAGCAGUGGGGAAUAUUGGACAAUGGGGGGAACCCUGAUCCAGCCAUGCCGCGUGUGUGAAGAAGGCCUUUUGGUUGUAAAGCACUUUAAGCGAGGAGGAGGCUACUCUAGUUAAUACCUAGGGAUAGUGGACGUUACUCGCAGAAUAAGCACCGGCUAACUCUGUGCCAGCAGCCGCGGUAAUACAGAGGGUGCGAGCGUUAAUCGGAUUUACUGGGCGUAAAGCGUGCGUAGGUGGCCAAUUAAGUCAAAUGUGAAAUCCCCGAGCUUAACUUGGGAAUUGCAUUCGAUACUGGUUGGCUAGAGUAUGGGAGAGGAUGGUAGAAUUCCAGGUGUAGCGGUGAAAUGCGUAGAGAUCUGGAGGAAUACCGAUGGCGAAGGCAGCCAUCUGGCCUAAUACUGACACUGAGGUACGAAAGCAUGGGGAGCAAACAGGAUUAGAUACCCUGGUAGUCCAUGCCGUAAACGAUGUCUACUAGCCGUUGGGGUCUUUGAGACUUUAGUGGCGCAGCUAACGCGAUAAGUAGACCGCCUGGGGAGUACGGUCGCAAGACUAAAACUCAAAUGAAUUGACGG